AGUCGAUCCUAAGAGAUAGGAGAGCUCCGUUAGCAGGUGCGUCUUCCUCGGAUGACGCCGCCUAUCGAAAGGGAAGCGGGUUAAUAUUCCCGCACCAGGACGUGGAUACUGAGUGGCAACACAAGCGAAGCCGGAGACGCCGGCGGGGACCCCGGGAAGAGUUCUCUUUUCUUGUUAACAGUCUGGCGCACCCUGGAAUCGAUUUAGUCGGCGAUAGGGUACGGCGGCUGGGAAAGCAGCUUAAUCUUUGAGUUGUCCGGUGCGUUCCCGACGGCCCUUGAAAAUCCGGUGGCGUGGCUUAUUCGCACCCCUGGUCGUAC
rnacentral:rRNA from 16 species